CCUCUCUCACAGUCACACCUGGAGAGUUUCCAGUACUCUACCAGUCUUGACUAAUGGUGGGAGAGUCAAGCUGAGGAAAACUCAUUCCAUUCCUAGCUAGGCCAGUGGCUAGUGAGUGGAAGCCAAUCUGCUACAAGU